ACUGACCAUUUGACAUUUCAGCUGUCGUCCCUGCAGCAUGUAAUCAUAGGGUAUAUUUAAGUUCUCCAGCAAUUGCAAGUCUACUAAAAAUGUAGUAUUCUGACAGCCAUCAAGCUGAAGGAAUGACAGAUGGUUUGACUAAAACCAGAAAGAAAUGGUUCUUUUCAGUGAUUCCAAAUGGGAAGAGGAGGAGGCAAGAUUUGCUUUUCUAUACGAGGACACAGCAAAUUCCUGUGGAUAUCAGCUA